UUAAUCCUAUGAAUAACCAGCUUUUUUAUUUCUUGCUUUUGUCAUUGGACAAAAAAACUGACUUGGAAAAAACUAACCAGCUCUUUUCUUUCCUUGUGUCGUUGGACUUGGAAAAAACUUUCCAUUUACCUUGGAGCAAAUUGUAUUCUUAAUUUGAUCUUUCUUUCCUUCUUUCAAGGCAAAUCACGCUAGACUUUCCAAGUUUUUUUGGAUGAAGUUCUUCAAUCAACCAAGUUCUUUGAAGAGAUUAUUAGAUUGGAGAACUUGUUUUUGUGAAUUUGUAGGAGGUUUGGUGUAAGUGGGAAAGAUCAGUGUACACUGGAGGACUUGUGUUUUGUGAAUUUUUUUGAAGAAAGUGUUUUGGAAAUUUGUGAAGGUUAAGAGUAAAUGGGAAAGAUAAGCGAAAAA